UACAGAGGUCCCGAGCGUUGUUCGGAUUUAUUGGGCGUAAAGGGUGCGUAGGCGGCGGAGUAAGUUGGGUGUGAAAUCCCGGGGCUUAACCUCGGAAUGGCAUUCAAUACUGCUUCGCUAGAGUACUGGAGAGGAGGCUGGAAUUUACGGUGUAGCAGUGAAAUGCGUAGAUAUCGUAAGGAAGGCCGGUGGCGAAAGCGAGCCUCUGGACAGUUACUGACGCUGAUGCACGAAGGCCAGGGGAGCAAACCGGG
rnacentral:rRNA from 1 species